rnacentral:rRNA from 1 species
UACGUAGGGUGCAAGCGUUAAUCGGAAUUACUGGGCGUAAAGCGUGCGCAGGCGGUUUUGUAAGUCUGACGUGAAAGCCCCGGGCUCAACCUGGGAACUGCGGUUGAAACUGGCGAACUAGAAUCUGGCAGAGGGGGGUGGAAUUCCACGUGUAGCAGUGAAAUGCGUAGAGAUGUGGAGGAACACCGAUGGCGAAGGCAGCCCCCUGGGCUGAGAUUGACGCUCAGGCACGAAAGCGUGGGGAGCAAACAGG